ACUGUUUUUUGAUAGUUAAUUAAUUAUUGUAUACAACUCAAUUUUUUGUAUUAUAAUAAUAUUAAGUAAUUAUUUUAUAUUUUGAUUGCAUUAUUAGUUUAAUAUAGUUAAUAUACUUUAUUUUUAAAUAGUUAUGACAUGUAAGUAAUUUUAAUUUUUGAUGAGACUUUUUGUUUUAUUACCCUUGUUGAUACUUGUAGUUUGAACAACAGUGUAGUGUGCAACUAAGGUUAAAAAUAAUAAUACCUAAUAAUAAUGGGUAAUAAUACUUAUAGAAAAAUAAUUUGAAGUUCUUGAUUUUCAUAAAUAACCCUUCCUAAAAAAUUAUAUUAUUUGAAUAUAGUUGAAAUGUAAAAUUCUUUUAUUAAAUAACUAAUAUUUUAUAGAUACAAAUUUAAUUUAUAAAAAGACCUCCCCUAGGAUAAUGGAGACGGGUGUAGCCACUGUUACAGGUAAUUUAUGUUUAUCUGUAAGCAACAAUAAACUGCUAACCAAAAAAACGGUUUUGAUUGCGGUUUAGUUGAUAGUGAUGCUUUGUCAACAUUAUAUAUGUCAUAUUGUGGUAAAAUAAUUAAAUAGGUAUUAUAUAUUUUCUUUAUAAAAUCUGUGUAAUAUUGUACCGAUUUUCCAGUUUUUCCUGCGUUUUUCUCGGUUUUUCAUAUUUGCUGGGAAUAAUCUUAC